AGUUGGAUUGGUAUUUCCACACAAGUUUAAGACGCUAGAGGGGGCAAUCAAGGUAUUUCAACGUCUCGGUUCUCUUCCCCAUUAAUGAAGGUGAUUGAAUGUGUCCGUGCGUUUCCAUCCCACCCAACCAAGCGUCGUACUUCAACAAGUUCACCCCUACCUGUUCAGAUAGAACCUCAGUCAAGCGCUGGCUUGCCAAGGGUUGUUCAGGAUGGUGAUUGUCAGGGUUUAGGGUGAUUACGUAGAGGAACCAGCGGUGUUUGGUUGUAAAGGCAACAAUUCUCGACGGUAAAGUAUAUCUGCACACCUUUGUUGGACUUUUUUGUUAGGAUGACAACGAUUCAAUGGCGGUUGAAGAAGAUCCGACGGUGGUGUCAAGGUUGUGGUCGUUUAUCUCAUUUGUGCAUUAGGGUUUGUGUUUUAGAAUAGGGGAAUCGGAUAUAGUUUUAUGCGUGUGUAAAUAUUCGUUUUUUUAUGCAAAUAAGUUAUAUUAUCAUCCUAAGAUUAUUGUUUACAUGAUAUUGUUUUUAUGAAUGAUCAAGAAGGUGAAACGUUGCAUUCAUGAUCCCGGCAGGCCGAGAUAGAGGGCUGCAGGUCAUCAUUGCACCGGGAACCGCCAUUUGCAGUCACACCACCGGUAAUCGCCGUCCAUUGCCCACUUCAACAUUUCACAUUUCAGAUGCAGCACAGAGCAAAACCAUGUAGCAGCCGUCGUUACGACAUCGUACAACAUUGGUUCACGUCUCCUUCUACGACAACUAUAAUUUCAUCUCUCUCUCUUUGUGUACUUGCAUACUUUUUUAGGCUUAUAGCUUUGUUUGGUCUGUUUGUGUAAGGCUUUUAUCACACAAGAUUCUGCUGACCGUGACCUUUUGUUCAGAAACCUUAAGUCAUUUGAUGUUGUCGUAAUUAACCACGUUGCUGAUGGAAAUCGCAACCCAGAGCCAUUUAAUAUUUCUCAAGA